AUUCCCCUACCGUGUACGUGAUGAAGUAAAACUCUUGAGCCUACCAACUUCAAGAAUGGGAGUUUGAGCUGUAAUAUGACGUACAUGCCCUGGAUUCUCUGAAUUCAGGGACGUACAGAGUAUUCGCGAGAGCACCCACCUGGCUAUGCCAGGUUCAAAGAUUUUACUUCACACGGCAUUGUGGUGGGGGAAUG
rnacentral:other from 1 species